UACAGAGGUGGCAAGCGUUGUUCGGAAUUACUGGGCGUAAAGGGCGCGUAGGCGGUCUUGCAAGUCCUGUGUGAAAUCCCUCGGCUCAACUGAGGAACUGCACAGGAAACUGCUUGGCUUGAGUUCGGGAGAGGGAAGCGGAAUUCCGGGUGUAGCGGUGAAAUGCGUAGAUAUGCGGAGGAACACCGAUGGCGAAGGCAAUCCCCUGGACCUGUACUGACGCUCAUGCACGAAAGCGUGGGGAGCAAACAGG
rnacentral:rRNA from 1 species